rnacentral:rRNA from 1 species
AGACCCGAAACCCGGUGAUCUAGCCAUGGGCAGGUUGAAGGUUGGGUAACACUAACUGGAGGACCGAACCGACUAAUGUUGAAAAAUUAGCGGAUGACCUGUGGCUGGGGGUGAAAGGCCAAUCAAACCGGGAGAUAGCUGGUUCUCCCCGAAAGCUAUUUAGGUAGCGCCUCGUGAAUUCAUCUCCGGGGGUAGAGCACUGUUUCGGCUAGGGGGCCAUCCCGGCUUACCAACCCGAUGCAAACUGCGAAUACCGGAGAAUGUUAUCACGGGAGACACACGGCGGGUGCUAACGUCCGUCGUGAAGAGGGAAACAACCCAGACCGCCAGCUAAGGUCCCAAAGUCAUGGUUAAGUGGGAAACGAUGUGGGAAGGCCCAGACAGCCAGGAUGUUGGCUUAGAAGCAGCCAUCAUUUAAAGAAAGCGUAAUAGCUCACUGGUCGAGUCGGCCUGCGCGGAAGAUGUAACGGGGCUAAACCAUGCACCGAAGCUGCGGCAGCGAACGUAUCACUUAAAGCGAUUCAGCGGGUUACGAUUGACGGAGCGAAGCGACGUCAAAGCGUA